AAAAAAAGGCAGCGCGUCAACUAUUUAUCAGCAGCCCAAGUUCGCUUUCCAAGUCCAUGCAGGCUAUAAGAUUUAUCGGAGAUGACCACUUUUGCCAAAAAACGUAGCUCCUGGGACAUGAAGGUCUGCAAAAUAUGUUUUGAAGGAGAAAAGCUCAAAGCAGCCGCGCGCGCACUUGAUCCGCAAAGAAGUGGCUGAAAGGUUGUUGACGCUCGCGCAGACCACAAGUGCCAAAAUAUUAGUCCUCCACAAGUGGAAAACAUAAACAUCCUUCCUGCCCAUGACAUAGACACAGAGGAGGCUGUGCAGACUGGCCUGGAGGAGGGAGAAGGAGGCGCCUCAGUCUCUGCGGAGAGCAGGGUAAACAUGGAGAUCUGACGAUGGAGGAAUGGAAUGGAAUCCCUUGCGCCCUCUGCCUCAGUGCCUCCCUGCUUGCCCACACCUCUCCUGCCUGCCUGCCUGCUGGUCCAGCUUGCUGGAACUCAUCCAGUCUGUUCAGCCUGGCUUCACCCUUCACCCCACCUUCCCGGACCACAUACUCCUCCAUCGGCCUUCCACUCCACUCCAUUGCCUUCCACAACCCCAUUAUUCUGCAAUAAAUCUUCAAC